CUCUUGGAUGUUAAGACGAGCACAUCCGUUCGGUAGAAAAAUUUGUCUCUUCCGGGAGAAUAUUUCCGGGCACCAUCAUUCCUCCUGCCCUUCUGAAGUUCCCUCUAGGUGGUGGCCACUGACCAGCCAGGUGUUACCAUCCCUGCACACUUGAACCGCUGCAAAGCAAAAGAUUCUCAGCAGACAGAGGUGAGUUGAAAGGGAUCUUUGAUUCCCCUCCUGACUUGGUGUUACAUUCUGUUAGAGAG
rnacentral:lncRNA from 1 species